GACGUAGGGCGCGAGCGUUGUCCGGAAUCAUUGGGCGUAAAGAGCGCGUAGGCGGCCCUGUAAGUCCGCUGUGAAAGUCAAGGGCUCAACCCUUGAAUGCCGGUGGAUACUGCAGGGCUAGAGUCCGGAAGAGGCGAGUGGAAUUCCUGGUGUAGCGGUGAAAUGCGUAGAUAUUGGGAGGAACACCAGUGGCGAAGGCGGCUCACUGGACCGGUACUGACGCUGAGGCGCGAAAGCGUGGGGAGCAAACGGG
rnacentral:rRNA from 1 species